UACGUAGGGUGCGAGCGUUGUCCGGAAUUAUUGGGCGUAAAGGGCUCGUAGGCGGUUUGUCACGUCAGGAGUGAAAACUCGGGGCUCAACCCCGAGCCUGCUUCUGAUACGGGCAGACUAGAGGUAUGCAGGGGAGAACGGAAUUCCUGGUGUAGCGGUGAAAUGCGCAGAUAUCAGGAGGAACACCGGUGGCGAAGGCGGUUCUCUGGGCAGUAACUGACGCUGAGGAGCGAAAGCGUGGGGAGCGAACAGG
rnacentral:rRNA from 1 species